CGUCUAGCGUGAACUGACAAUCUCAAUCAGACACCAACUCCUGGAGAAGCUUCAAGGAAGAAUGCUUUUCUUCUAAGCCAAGGAGCACUAGGACAUUUAGCGGUUUUGUUUGUUUGUUUGUUUGUUUGUUUGUUUGUUUGAGGGAGGAUUGGAACCCAAUCAAGUCAGUCAACAAACAGCACUCUCUGUAAUAGUAAUGACACUAUUUGAAGUGUCAUCCUUAGCUGAGAUUGUCUCAUAUAGUCUCUUACUUAAUUUUCGUAGCAGCCGUGGGAGACAGGUAUGAGAACCCCACUUCAGCCAAAACUCGGGUCACAAAGGCACUAAAUUUGUCACAGUUUUGUCAAUUGUUGUAGUAAAUUUGUAAAAGAAAGCUGACACAGAGAAGAAAUCACAUACCCUCAAGAAAACUGUGAUUAAAAUGAAAAUCAAGUGGUUUCCUCAUGAAACUCCAUGUCCAGAGGAGACUUUCCAUUUGUUGGAGUUCGGAAGAACUUAUGGAGCCAAGGGUAGAGAGAGUGAGUAGUCUGUAGCCAUCUGCAGAGCAUCCACUGUGUAUCACACACUGAGCUAGGCGCUAGGGAUUCUGGAAUGCCCUGGGCAGACAAGAUCUCUUGCCUCACAGAGCGUACCUUCUAGAGUGUUCUCUGGAACCAUUUCAAUUUUUCAUAUUAUUCUGAGAUCCUCUAUGGCAAGCAAACUUGUCUGCAGUUUGGACUGCAUGAUCUUCAGCCAAUGUGAUGGGAAAAUCUGGUGCAGAGGGUGGUUGAGAGGAGCAUUCUGAGCACUGGAUAGUCCUAUACUCUAAGAAGGUCCAGAGGCCCACCGGAGAACCAGACCGUAGCUUUGAGUAUCCUGGAGAGAAGAGUGAACUCAGGAUAGGACUUUCUAAAACGUCCAUCAAACCUACCCUUUUACUGAGUAUGAGGACUCUACUUAUUCUGCCUUUGAGGAAGUCAUCUUUGUUUGAAAUCCAGACUAUUUGUCUGAUCUCUGCCCAUUCUGGGGCUUCAAGGACUUUGCAAGAGUUCUACCUCAGACCCAAACACAGGCUACCCACCCAGAAGGGAUGCUGUUUCCUGAAGUGGGUGGGGCUGGUAUUUCAUUUAUUUGUAACCAUCAAGGAUGCUACAAGUUGCUUUGUGACCUCCCCAGAAAUACCACCAUAGUUGUUAAUAAAGGAAUGCUCCUUGAUAUGACCAAACUGAGAACUACUAGUUCAAUACAAAAAUAAAUUGUUAAUACUGCUUCAUUUCAA